GUUUAGCUCAGUCAGUAGAGCAUUAGACUUUUAAUCUCAGGGCUGUGGGUUCCAGUCCUGCACGGCU